rnacentral:misc_RNA from 1 species
UCCGACUUAAUAUCGACAAUCUCACUAGAAUGCCCAACUCAAUGCUAACAACUAACGAUAAAAAUUACACUCGUUACAAAACUUAACCCAACAUCUCACGACACGAACUGACGACAGCCACGCAACACCUAACUACAGAUUCUCCGAAGAGCACCCCGACCUUUCGCCGCCUGUCACUAGCCGUUCGAGCCCAGGUAAGGUUCUUCGCGUUGCGUCGAAUUAAACCACAUACUCCACCGCUUGUGCGGGCCCCCGUCAAUUCCUUUGAGUUUCGGCCUUGCGACCGUACUCCCCAGGCGGGAUACUUAAUGCGUUAGCUUCGGCACGAAGGGAUUCAAUCCCCCUCACACCAAGUAUCCAUCGUUUAGGGCUAGGACUAC